GCCCCCAUAGUAUAGCUUGGAUAGUAUACGGCCCUGCGGAGGCCGGGGGAGGGGUUCAAAUCGGGUGGUG
rnacentral:tRNA from 1 species